UACGAAGGGGGCUAGCGUUGUUCGGAAUCACUGGGCGUAAAGCGCAUGUAGGCGGGUUUUUAAGUCAGGGGUGAAAUGCCAAGGCUCAACCUUGGAACUGCCUUUGAUACUGGAGACCUUGAGUCCGGGAGAGGUGAGUGGAACUGCGAGUGUAGAGGUGAAAUUCGUAGAUAUUCGCAAGAACACCAGUGGCGAAGGCGGCUCACUGGCCCGAUACUGACGCUGAGGCACGAAAGCGUGGGGAGCAAACAGG
rnacentral:rRNA from 1 species